rnacentral:misc_RNA from 1 species
AGCUUCACCUCUAUCCGCUUACUCAAUUACACCCAAGUGAUAUCACUAACAACCACACUACAUCAUAGUAAAUAGAAUAGUUUGUUCCUCUAGACAUAACUAAGCUAUCUGCUACUUUAACAUCACAACACACCACAAAGGGUUUCACUACAUGGAUAAUAGCCCUUGAACAAUGGAUAAGAGUCUCUUCCUCUUGGACUUUAUUUCCUUUCUUUAUCCAUAGGCUUCAAUCUCGAACCCUAUGCCAUUUCUCCACAUAUGGACUAAAGCCAAAUAACCUCUCUUUCAAUACUCAUUUGUAGUGUUAGUCCCUUCAAUCCUAAUAUCAAUAAAAUCCCACUCA